rnacentral:rRNA from 1 species
GGGUUGUGAGGUUAAGCGACUAAGCGUACACGGUGGAUGCCCUGGCAGUCAGAGGCGAUGAAGGACGUGCUAAUCUGCGAUAAGCGUCGGUAAGGUGAUAUGAACCGUUAUAACCGGCGAUUUCCGAAUGGGGAAACCCAGUGUGUUUCGACACACUAUCAUUAACUGAAUCCAUAGGUUAAUGAGGCGAACCGGGGGAACUGAAACAUCUAAGUACCCCGAGGAAAAGAAAUCAACCGAGAUUCCCCCAGUAGCGGCGAGCGAACGGGGAGCAGCCCAGAGCCUGAAUCAGUGUGUGUGUUAGUGGAAGCGUCUGGAAAGGCGCGCGAUACAGGGUGACAGCCCCGUACACAAAAAUGCACAUGCUGUGAGCUCGAUGAGUAGGGCGGGACACGUGGUAUCCUGUCUGAAUAUGGGGGGACCAUCCUCCAAGGCUAAAUACUCCUGACUGACCGAUAGUGAACCAGUACCGUGAGGGAAAGGCGAAAAGAACCCCGGCGAGGGGAGUGAAAAAGAACCUGAAACCGUGUACGUACAAGCAGUGGGAGCACGCUUCGGCGUGUGACUGCGUACCUUUUGUAUAAUGGGUCAGCGACUUAUAUUCUGUAGCAAGGUUAACCGAAUAGGGGAGCCGAAGGGAAACCGAGUCUUAACUGGGCGUUAAGUUGCAGGGUAUAGACCCGAAACCCGGUGAUCUAGCCAUGGGCAGGUUGAAGGUUGGGUAACACUAACUGGAGGACCGAACCGACUAAUGUUGAAAAAUUAGCGGAUGACUUGUGGCUGGGGGUGAAAGGCCAAUCAAACCGGGAGAUAGCUGGUUCUCCCCGAAAGCUAUUUAGGUAGCGCCUCGUGAAUUCAUCUCCGGGGGUAGAGCACUGUUUCGGCAAGGGGGUCAUCCCGACUUACCAACCCGAUGCAAACUGCGAAUACCGGAGAAUGUUAUCACGGGAGACACACGGCGGGUGCUAACGUCCGUCGUGAAGAGGGAAACAACCCAGACCGCCAGCUAAGGUCCCAAAGUCAUGGUUAAGUGGGAAACGAUGUGGGAAGGCCCAGACAGCCAGGAUGUUGGCUUAGAAGCAGCCAUCAUUUAAAGAAAGCGUAAUAGCUCACUGGUCGAGUCGGCCUGCGCGGAAGAUGUAACGGGGCUAAACCAUGCACCGAAGCUGCGGCAGCGACGCUUAUGCGUUGUUGGGUAGGGGAGCGUUCUGUAAGCCUGUGAAGGUGUACUGUGAGGUAUGCUGGAGGUAUCAGAAGUGCGAAUGCUGACAUAAGUAACGAUAAAGCGGGUGAAAAGCCCGCUCGCCGGAAGACCAAGGGUUCCUGUCCAACGUUAAUCGGGGCAGGGUGAGUCGACCCCUAAGGCGAGGCCGAAAGGCGUAGUCGAUGGGAAACAGGUUAAUAUUCCUGUACUUGGUGUUACUGCGAAGGGGGGACGGAGAAGGCUAUGUUGGCCGGGCGACGGUUGUCCCGGUUUAAGCGUGUAGGCUGGUUUUCCAGGCAAAUCCGGAAAAUCAAGGCUGAGGCGUGAUGACGAGGCACUACGGUGCUGAAGCAACAAAUGCCCUGCUUCCAGGAAAAGCCUCUAAGCAUCAGGUAACAUCAAAUCGUACCCCAAACCGACACAGGUGGUCAGGUAGAGAAUACCAAGGCGCUUGAGAGAACUCGGGUGAAGGAACUAGGCAAAAUGGUGCCGUAACUUCGGGAGAAGGCACGCUGAUAUGUAGGUGAAGCGACUUGCUCGUGGAGCUGAAAUCAGUCGAAGAUACCAGCUGGCUGCAACUGUUUAUUAAAAACACAGCACUGUGCAAACACGAAAGUGGACGUAUACGGUGUGACGCCUGCCCGGUGCCGGAAGGUUAAUUGAUGGGGUUAGCGCAAGCGAAGCUCUUGAUCGAAGCCCCGGUAAACGGCGGCCGUAACUAUAACGGUCCUAAGGUAGCGAAAUUCCUUGUCGGGUAAGUUCCGACCUGCACGAAUGGCGUAAUGAUGGCCAGGCUGUCUCCACCCGAGACUCAGUGAAAUUGAACUCGCUGUGAAGAUGCAGUGUACCCGCGGCAAGACGGAAAGACCCCGUGAACCUUUACUAUAGCUUGACACUGAACAUUGAGCCUUGAUGUGUAGGAUAGGUGGGAGGCUUUGAAGUGUGGACGCCAGUCUGCAUGGAGCCGACCUUGAAAUACCACCCUUUAAUGUUUGAUGUUCUAACGUUGACCCGUAAUCCGGGUUGCGGACAGUGUCUGGUGGGUAGUUUGACUGGGGCGGUCUCCUCCUAAAGAGUAACGGAGGAGCACGAAGGUUGGCUAAUCCUGGUCGGACAUCAGGAGGUUAGUGCAAUGGCAUAAGCCAGCUUGACUGCGAGCGUGACGGCGCGAGCAGGUGCGAAAGCAGGUCAUAGUGAUCCGGUGGUUCUGAAUGGAAGGGCCAUCGCUCAACGGAUAAAAGGUACUCCGGGGAUAACAGGCUGAUACCGCCCAAGAGUUCAUAUCGACGGCGGUGUUUGGCACCUCGAUGUCGGCUCAUCACAUCCUGGGGCUGAAGUAGGUCCCAAGGGUAUGGCUGUUCGCCAUUUAAAGUGGUACGCGAGCUGGGUUUAGAACGUCGUGAGACAGUUCGGUCCCUAUCUGCCGUGGGCGCUGGAGAACUGAGGGGGGCUGCUCCUAGUACGAGAGGACCGGAGUGGACGCAUCACUGGUGUUCGGGUUGUCAUGCCAAUGGCACUGCCCGGUAGCUAAAUGCGGAAGAGAUAAGUGCUGAAAGCAUCUAAGCACGAAACUUGCCCCGAGAUGAGUUCUCCCUGACUCCUUGAGAGUCCUGAAGGAACGUUGAAGACGACGACGUUGAUAGGCCGGGUGUGUAAGCGCAGCGAUGCGUUGAGCUAACCGGUACUAAUGAACCGUGAGGCUUAACCUUACAACGCCGAAG